UACGGGGGGGGCAAGCGUUGCUCGGAAUCACUGGGCGUAAAGCGCACGUAGGCGGAUUGUUAAGUCAGGGGUGAAAUCCUGGAGCUCAACUCCAGAACUGCCUUUGAUACUGGCGAUCUUGAGUCCGGGAGAGGUGAGUGGAACUGCGAGUGUAGAGGUGAAAUUCGUAGAUAUUCGCAAGAACACCAGUGGCGAAGGCGGCUCACUGGCCCGGUACUGACGCUGAGGUGCGAAAGCGUGGGAGCAAACAGG
rnacentral:rRNA from 1 species